UACGUAGGGUGCAAGCGUUGUCCGGAAUUAUUGGGCGUAAAGAGCUCGUAGGCGGUUUGUCGCGUCUGCUGUGAAAACCCGAGGCUCAACCUCGGGCCUGCAGUGGGUACGGGCAGACUAGAGUGCGGUAGGGGAGAUUGGAAUUCCUGGUGUAGCGGUGGAAUGCGCAGAUAUCAGGAGGAACACCCGUGGCUAAGGCGGCUCUCUAGUACGGUACUGACGCUGAGACGCGAAAGCGUGGGGAGCGAACAGG
rnacentral:rRNA from 1 species